rnacentral:rRNA from 1 species
CACGUAGGCACCAAGCGUUGUCCGGAUUUAUUGGGCGUAAAGAGCUCGUAGGCGGUUCAGUAAGUCGGGUGUGAAAACUUUGGGCUUAACCCUAAGCGUGCAUCCGAUACUGCUGUGACUUGAGUUCGGUAGGGGAGUGGGGAAUUCCUAGUGUAGCGGUGAAAUGCGCAGAUAUUAGGAAGAACACCAGUGGCGAAGGCGGCUAACUGGUCCGAUACUGACGCUGAGGUGCGAAAGCGUGGGGAGCAAACAGG